rnacentral:rRNA from 1 species
AUUGAACGCUGGCGGCAGGCCUAACACAUGCAAGUCGAGCGCGAAAGUUCUUCGGAAUGAGUAAAGCGGCGAACGGGUGAGUAAUGCAUGGGAAUCUGCCUGGUAGUGGGGGACAACGUUUCGAAAGGAACGCUAAUACCGCAUACGCCCUACGGGGAAAGGGGGGGAGUCUUCGGACCUCUCGCUAUCAGAUGAGCCCAUGUCAGAUUAGCUAGUUGGUGGGGUAAAGGCUCACCAAGGCGACGAUCUGUAACUGGUCUGAGAGGAUGAUCAGUCACACUGGAACUGAGACACGGUCCAGACUCCUACGGGAGGCAGCAGUGGGGAAUAUUGGACAAUGGGCGAAAGCCUGAUCCAGCCAUGCCGCGUGUGUGAAGAAGGCCUUC